GGGGAAUAUUGCACAAUGGGCGAAAGCCUGAUGCAGCAACGCCGCGUGAACGAAGAAGGCCUUUGGGUCGUAAAGUUCUGUCCAAGAGGAAGAUAAUGACGGUACUCUUGGAGGAAGCCCCGGCUAACUACGUGCCAGCAGCCGCGGUAACACGUAGGGGGCAAGCGUUAUCCGGAAUUAUUGGGCGUAAAGGGUGCGUAGGCGGCUUCUUAAGCGUGGGGUGAAAUGCAAUAGCUCAACUAUUGUAAGCCUUGCGAACUGGGGAGCUUGAGUGCAGGAGAGGAAAGCGGAAUUCCUAGUGUAGCGGUGAAAUGCGUAGAUAUUAGGAGGAACACCAGUGGCGAAGGCGGCUUUCUGGACUGUAACUGACGCUGAGGCACGAAAGCGUGGGGAGCGAAC
rnacentral:rRNA from 1 species